UGGAACUUGCAUUAACUAAGUCCUUGGUCUGC
rnacentral:piRNA from 1 species